AGAAUCUGCCUUUUGGACGGGGAUAACAGUUGGAAACGACUGCUAAGACCCGAUGUGCCUAUGGGUGAAAGUAAUUUAGCCAGAAGAUGAGCUCGCGUCAGAUUAGCUAGUUGGAGUGGUAACGGCACACCAAGGCGACGAUCUGUAGCUGGUCUGAGAGGAUGACCAGCCACACUGGGACUGAGACACGGCCCAGACUCCUACGGGAGGCAGCAGUGGGGAAUUUUCCGCAAUGGGCGAAAGCCUGACGGAGCAAGACCGCGUGGGGGAGGAAGGUCUGUGGAUUGUAAACCCCUUUUGUCAAGGAAGAACACAAUGACGGUACUUGACGAAUCAGCAUCGGCUAACUCCGUGCCAGCAGCCGCGGUAAUACGGAGGAUGCAAGCGUUAUCCGGAUUUAUUGGGCGUAAAGCGUCCGUAGGUGGUUGUUCAAGUCUGCUGUCAAAGCGCGAGGCUUAACUUCGUAAAGGCAGUGGAAACUGAGCGACUUGAGAAUGAUAGGGGCAGAGGGAAUUCCCAGUGUAGCGGUGAAAUGCGUAGAGAUUGGGAAGAACACCGGUGGCGAAAGCGCUCUGCUGGGUCAUAUCUGACACUGAGGGACGAAAGCUAGGGGAGCGAAAGGGAUUAGAUACCC
rnacentral:rRNA from 1 species